AUUGAACGCUGGCGGCAUGCUUUACACAUGCAAGUCGAGCGGCAGCGCGGGGGCAAACCCGGGCGGCGAGCGGCGAACGGGUGAGUAAUGCAUCGGAACGUACCCUGGAGUGGGGGAUAACGCCGCGAAAGCGGCGCUAAUACCGCAUAUGCUCUGAGGAGGAAAGUGGGGGACCGCAAAGGCCUCACGCUCUGGGAGCGGCCGAUGUCCGAUUAGCUAGUUGGUGGGGUAAAGGCUUACCAAGGCGACGAUCGGUAGCUGGUCUGAGAGGAUGAUCAGCCACACUGGGACUGAGACACGGCCCAGACUCCUACGGGAGGCAGCAGUGGGGAAUUUUGGACAAUGGGGGCAACCCUGAUCCAGCCAUGCCGCGUGAGUGAAGAAGGCCUUCGGGUCGUAAAGCUCUUUUGGUCGGGAGAAAGCGCCUUGCCUAAUACGCGAGGUGGUUGACGGUA
rnacentral:rRNA from 1 species